rnacentral:lncRNA from 1 species
CUUUUGACAGCCGUGAGCUUCCCCGCCAGGAACUUACUGGGGCUGCAUCACCCUAGAAACGUGGCUUUGGGCUGUGGAAACGCUGCCUCUGUGGAAGUCUCUCCUCGCGGGGGUGGACGGGUCGCUGCGCGCCCAGCGUUCUUCUGCGGUUCUCACAGCCCGCCGCCGCCGCCGCCUCGGGGACCUUUGCGGGGAGGCCUCAGGGCACCUUCCUCCUCUCUCUCAGGCACGUCCUCGACCUCAGUUGCCACGUGCACAUGCUGGUGCCUUCCAGGCUGGAGUAUAGUGGCAUGAUCAUAGAUCACUGCAGCCUCAAACUCCUGGGCUCAAGCGAUCCUCCCACCUCAGCCUCCAUAUAGCUGGUGGGGACCAAGUUUCUAACACAUGAAUGUUGGGAGACACAUUCAGACCAUCGCAGUGGCCUUAUAAAAAGAGACACAAGAGCUUGCUCUCUGCCAUGUGAGAAUACCACAAGAAGACUGUCCUCAGCAAAUCAGAAAGCGGGUGGACCCUCAUCAGACACCAGAUGUGCCUGCACCUUGAUCUUGGACUUGCCAGCCUUCAGAACAGUAAGAAAGAAAUGUGUGUUGUUUAAGCCACCCAGUCUAUGGUAACUUGCUAUAGCAGCCCACUAGGAGACCCCAAGAUAUUUAAAAACUCAUCAGCACCUGCUUUCUGCAUCUGGACCCUGAUCUUCUGGUGGGUUUACCAGUUACUUGUAGAGUGUCCCUGUGAUAGUUUUAGGUGUCAACUUGACAGGAUUGAGGGAUGCCUAGAUGGCUGGGGAAGCACUGUUUCUGAGAAGGACCAUGUUUUUGGAGGAGACUGUUUUAU